rnacentral:rRNA from 1 species
AGAGUUUGAUCCUGGCUCAGGACAAACGCUGGCGGCGUGCGUAACACAUGCAAGUCGGACGAGGUGUGGUGCCUUCGGGUGCCAGAUCGAGUGGCGGACGGGUGAGUAACACGUGGAUAACCUACCCGGAUGUGGGGGAUACCCUGUAGAAAUACGGGCUAAUACCGCAUGAGGUGAUGUUGGGGGAGCCCAAGAUCAAC